GGUAUAUAGCUCAGUGGUAGAGCUCAUGCUUAGCAUGCCCAAGGCUCUGGGUUCAAUCCCCAGCACCA
rnacentral:tRNA from 1 species